rnacentral:rRNA from 1 species
GACGAACGCUGGCGGCGUGCCUAAUACAUGCAAGUCGAGCGGAACUUAGAAAGCUUGCUUUCUAAGUUUAGCGGCGGACGGGUGAGUAACACGUGGGCAACCUGCCUAUAAGACUGGGAUAACUUCGGGAAACUGGAGCUAAUACCGGAUAAUAUAAAAGAUCACAUGGUCUUUUAUUGAAAGAUGGCUUCGGCUAUCACUUAUAGAUGGGCCCGCGGCGCAUUAGCUAGUUGGUGAGGUAAUGGCUCACCAAGGCGACGAUGCGUAGCCGACCUGAGAGGGUGAUCGGCCACACUGGGACUGAGACACGGCCCAGACUCCUACGGGAGGCAGCAGUAGGGAAUCUUCCGCAAUGGACGAAAGUCUGACGGAGCAACGCCGCGUGAGCGAUGAAGGCCUUCGGGUCGUAAAGCUCUGUUGUUAGGGAAGAACAAGUAUCGUUCGAAUAGGGCGGUACCUUGACGGUACCUAACCAGAAAGCCACGGCUAACUACGUG